rnacentral:rRNA from 1 species
AUUGAACGCUGGCGGCAUGCCUUACACAUGCAAGUCGAACGGCAGCACGGGUGCUUGCACCUGGUGGCGAGUGGCGAACGGGUGAGUAAUAUAACGGAACGUACCUUAUUGUGGGGAAAACGCAGCGAAAGCUGUGCUAAUACCGAGUAAUCCCUAAGGGGGAAAGAGGGGGACCGUAAGGCCUCGCGCAAUUAAAACAGCCGAUACCUGAUUAGCUAGUUGGUGAGGUAAAGGCUCACCAAGGCCACGAUCAGUAGCUGGUCUGAGAGGACGAUCAGCCACACUGGGACUGAGACACGGCCCAGACUCCUACGGGAGGCAGCAGUGGUGAAUUUUGGACAAUGGGGGCAACCCUGAUCCAGCAAUGCCGCGUGAGUGAAGAAGGCCUUCGGGUUGUAAAGCUCUUUUGUCAGGGAAGAAACAGCAGCUCUAACACAGUUUGCGAAUGACGGUACCUGAAGAAUAAGCACCGGCUAACUACGUGCCAGCAGCCGCCGUAA